GGUGGCGCAGUGGUUAAGCAUUUGGCUGCUAACUAAAAGGUUGGUAGUUCGAAUCCACCCACCA
rnacentral:tRNA from 1 species